UAGGGAAUCUUCCGCAAUGGACGCAAGUCUGACGGAGCAACGCCGCGUGAGUGAAGAAGGAUUUCGGUUCGUAAAACUCUGUUGUUAGAGAAGAACAGCGCAUAGAGUAACUGUUAUGCGUGUGACGGUAUCUAACCAGAAAGCCACGGCUAACUACGUGCCAGCAACCGCGGUAAUACGUAGGUCCCGAGCGUUGUCCGGAUUUAUUGGGCGUAAAGCGAGCGCAGGCGGUUAGAAAAGUCUGAAGUGAAAGGCAGUGGCUCAACCAUUGUAGGCUUUAGAAACUGUUUAACUUGAGUGCAGAAGGGGAGAGUGGAAUUCCAUGUGUAGCGGUGAAAUGCGUAGAUAUAUGGAGGAACACCGGUAGCGAAUGCGGCUCUCUGGUCUGUAACUGACGCUGAGGCUCGAAAGCGUGGGAGCGAACAGG
rnacentral:rRNA from 1 species